UGAGUAACCUGCCCUUGACUCUGGGAUAAGCGUUGGAAACGACGUCUAAUACCGGAUACGAGCUUCAGUCGCAUGACUAGGAGCUGGAAAGAAUUUCGGUCAAGGAUGGACUCGCGGCCUAUCAGCUAGUUGGUGAGGUAACGGCCCACCAAGGCGACGACGGGUAGCCGGCCUGAGAGGGUGACCGGCCACACUGGGACUGAGACACGGCCCAGACUCCUACGGGAGCAG
rnacentral:rRNA from 1 species